rnacentral:lncRNA from 1 species
CCGUCCAUCUAUCCCAACCAGCCAUCUCGCUGUCUCUCCCUUCCGACGUAGCACUGCCGUCGCCGCCUUGCCAACGCAGCGGCCACGCAGCAGCUCCAUCGCCACGCGUCGUCGUCGAACGCGUUCCUCAGUACCGACGUAACCGGAACCGCCUCAAGUCGAGUUCGUCGUCAUCCAUCACCUCUCCACCGCCUCUUCUUGCUACCGCCUCUGCUCUCUUUCUUCUCCAGCCGCCACCCAUAGAGGAGCAAGCUCUUGCCUCCCCUCAUCCCCUCACUGAACCAGCAGAGACACGUCGCCGGAGCUGCCACCACUGACGCCGUAGAACGGUCGGUCGCACCCCGCCACCAACGCCAUCUCUUUCGAUUUCGCCACCACCGACGCACCUCUCUCCAAAUUGACGGUAAAAAUGGGUUCACCA